GGAAGGGAGGAAGCGUAGAAGGUGCCGAUGCACUUUUCCUCUCUCCAGACUUCCUGACUGCUCCAAGAAUUUCAUCGAACAAGACUCAAAGAGGCCCAGCUGCUCUGCGUUUUGAUUCUUCUCCCUCUCUCAGUCCACACUGACCUGGGAGGGGCUUCUCAAACACCACAUUUCCUAGCAUGCUGUGAGAAGAGGACUGUGAGCUAAAAAGGGAGAAAAGGCACUCCCUUCCUCAUCAACAAACACCUGACCUGGGUAGACCCUCUGCUUACCAAGAUCCAGUCCACCUUUUGACAUCAGCAUUCAUGCUGCCUCUUUUUACGAACCAAGCCAAAGUGGUCCCUUCCUCUGGAAAUUAUAGGGUACUUAAUGUACCUCAUAUCCAGAUCUUGAGGGUACUAAAUCAUUGAAAACUGUGCAGCAUCCUAGCACGAACAUGCACUACAUAAUGUGCUCUGAAGGAAAUAUAGAUUCAAGAGCUCUUGGAACCAAAUCACACUAUCAUAAAAUGGGAAGAGGACUCCAGACUAAGCAUAUAUGAGAUACACAGCAAAAAAAGUUUGAUUAAUACCUUCAGAUCGGCAUUCUGAAAACUUGACUAUGAUCACAUCAUACACACAUUCAGAAACCUCAGAAACUCAGACUAAUGCUCCAAGUUCUUGGGUCAUGUUCAAGGAGCUCCUGUAAUUAGGCCCCAGCCUUGCUUUUCCAUCUGAUCACCAGCUUGGGUAAAGUUUCUGCUUCAGCCUUGGCCCAUCCC
rnacentral:antisense_RNA from 1 species